UUCAGCUUGAAGCUGUCAUCGGCCCUCAGAACAUGUCUGCCUCCCCUCCUCCCCCUGCCUCUGUGUGUGUGUGUGUGUGUGUGUGUGUGUGAGGCGUGAGCCAGCCAACAAGCGAGUGUGUUGUGUUUCUGCAGGCUCUGGAGGUGUUUGAGUCGGAGAAGCCAGCAGACGGACUGGGAUGCCCGCCGCCCUCACAGCGCCGACACCGCCGCUCCCUCUCCCGGAUUGACAGGCCAAUCACAAUCCGCCGCCCGCCCUCCCUCCACCCGCUCCCUGCACCUCCUCUUCCUCACUCUCUCUCUCUUUUUCUCUUUAGUUUCAUUCCUUAGCGCUCAAUCUGUGUAUCCCCUCCUCCUCCUCCUCCUCCUCCUCCUCCUCGCACCUUUUGGUCAGAAGAGGAAGAGGAAGCCCAGCCCAGGGAGAAACGCUGAGAGGAUGAAACUCUGACACACCGGCAGACCACAGGGAAACAAGAGCACAACUAUAAUUGCUCRGACAGAAACACCCAGGAAGGUCACCCAAGAAUCCUGCAGAAGGAGCCAAAGUGAGAUCUACAGGACUACAAUUACUCCGGCUGCAGAGCAAAGUGAAUGACAGUGAUUGUGUUUAAACCGGGCUUCAGCCUCGACGUUGGCGUCGUCUGAGUUUCAUCUCCUGCAGACUUCCACACAGGUUUUUAAACGCUAUAUUGACUUAAGUUACAAACCACUGGACAACAAAGAAAUCCUCAUUUUUCUUCUUUUGCCAUUUGGUGUAAUGAGCCACCGUUCCCUCGUCCCUCUGCACCGAGGCUGCUGAAAGACAACUGAACAGGCUCGUUGCAAUGAUAAUCUUGUGUGUGUCUGCACUUAUGGAGAGCAUCUUGAAGCAUGUCAGACUUGCAUCAAAGCUGCUGUUGUAAUUUUCKUUUUCAAGGGCAACUURAAAGAGGAGUCGGAAGGAAGAGAAGUCGCAUUAGUUUCUUGUUUUCUCCGACGAGGCAGCCGCUUCGGAAAGUAACCCCGCGCUUUCCGAGGGGAGUGUAGGAUGAUUCAGCAGGAAGCCCAUCUGACUGAUUCACGUUUAAACAUAAA